rnacentral:rRNA from 1 species
UGGUGUCAGCCGCCGCGGUAAAACCAGCACCUCAAGUGGUCAGGAUGAUUAUUGGGCCUAAAGCAUCCGUAGCCGGCUCUGUAAGUUUUCGGUUAAAUCUGUACGCUUAACGUACAGGCUGCCGGGAAUACUGCAGAGCUAGGGAGUGGGAGAAGUAGACGGUACUCGGGAGGAAGUGGUAAGAUGCUUUGAUCUCUCGAUGACCACCUGUGGCGAAGGCGGUCUACUAGAACACGUCCGACGGUGAGGGAUGAAAGCUGGGGGAGCAAACCGGAUUAGAUACCCGGGUAGUCCCAGCUGUAAACUAUGCAAACUCAGUGAUGCAUUGGCUUGUGGCCAAUGCAGUGCUGCAGGGAAGCCGUUAAGUUUGCCGCCUGGGAAGUACGUACGCAAGUAUGAAACUUAAAGGAAUUGGCGGGGGAGCACCACAAGGGGUGAAGCCUGCGGUUC